CCCUAGGUGAUGUAAAUGGUAAACAGGCUUGGCUUUUAACCAAAAGGUUGUUGGUUUGAGUCCACCCAGAGGCA
rnacentral:tRNA from 1 species